rnacentral:lncRNA from 10 species
UUGUCCAGGCUGAUGUUGAAUUCCUGGGCUCAAGCAGUCCUCCCACCUUGGCCUCCCAAUGCUAGAUUACAGGCAUGUGCCACCAGUAGUUUUCUUUAAAUCAACAGAAUAAUAAAUUUGGUCAUGCUAUGGAGUUUCACCAUUUCAUCCAGGCUGGUCUCGAGUUCCUGACCCCAAGUGAUCUGCCCGCCUUGGCCUCCCAAAGUGCUGGGAUUACAGGCGUGAGCCACCGUGCCCAGCCUAGCUCCUAAAAUUAAAGUUGAUUCCAUGCUGAUAAUGUUGAUCGCAAGCUUAGAUAGAAGUGCAGGUGCAGAAUAAAGACAAGACUCAUUCCUAUACCUACCCAGAGACAUCUGCAUACUUGACUCUUCCUUUACUCUCUUUUUAUUUUCAAACAUCCAAUUUGUCUUAUGUAAAAUGUAGAUUUACCAGGCAGCAGCUAGAGUCUCACAGGAAUGUAGCCAUUCGCC